GGUAAAAUGGCUGAGUAAGCAUUAGACUGUAAAUCUAAAGACAAAGGUGAAGUCCUUUUUUUGCCA
rnacentral:tRNA from 1 species